rnacentral:lncRNA from 1 species
UUUUCUCAAUGCACGACAGAGCCUUUUCUCAACACACGGCAGAGUAGAGGCCAUGUACACAUUGUUAAAGAAUGAGAAUAUCAGUCUUAUGUAUGGCUGGAUGGAUUGUACCUGCAAAAAUUCCCUACAAAUAAACAUAUCUUCUUUGCUGAAUGUAGCUUCACCAAUCAAACCUGAAGAAUCCCAGAAAAAAUCAAUCAUAGACUUCACAUGGAAUCAAACUUCAUAUGAAGAUGAAUUGUUGCCUAAAACUGCUAGAAAAAACAUGUUCAACUGAAUUGUUUUCGGCACUGGAUCAACUCAUAAUCUUACUUAUACAUUAAAAUGUAUGAUGAUUAUAAACUGAGAUACUUUUUUAGAGCGGGUAAAAAAGAAUGUAUAGGGACUGCCAGUAGCAUAAUUGAUGGUUACAUGAAACAUCUAAAAUUUUAAGAAUCAAACAUGAUCUAAGGAAGUGACACACAUCUGCAAGUAUCUAAUAAUAAAAUCCAUAUGAAAGAUAACCUCCAUUGAUUGAAAAAUUGCGAGUUCCACUCCUUUGCUUCAAUAGCAAUGGCCACUUAGUCCAGCACAUCCCCUUUGUCCUAGAUCAGUAGAAAACAAAAAUGGAUACACAUCUAUACAGGCCUACUCCUAUCAUAGUUUAUACAUAGCAACAAACUGAGAUUACAUAUGGCUACAUAAUAAGAUUCCUUUGCAUCAUCGGUGUUCUUACUUUGAAAUAUGGUAGCGGCAAAUUGAAAGAUUCUAAUGUGUUAGUUUUGGCACAACGAGCUUCGGCCUCCUUGACAUCCAGCUGCCUAUUGGCAAGCAAUUUUUGAAUCAUCUCUGGUACACACCAUGCGCAUAGUUAGCGUGAUUAUAGCAUUGUAGGCAACAAAAAGGAAUCCAUAUGUAAUCUGAAUCUUCACUGAACUUUUUACGUUUGACCGUCCAGGACCUCGGUCACACAAAAUUUGACAGCUCAAACUUUUACCUUUACCAGUCUUCCAUCAUCCAUGGCGAAUCCAUGGCAUACUUGGCUUCACAUUGAGAUGGUUCAUCACCUUCAUCUCACACGACUUGUCACA